rnacentral:lncRNA from 1 species
UUAUUUUUGGGAUUUAAUUGAAAACGAUUUUGGAAAAAAAAAAGGUGAAAAUUUGGAUUCUGAUGGUGUUUUUGAAAAGAAAAUUGAAAACCGGGAGUCAAAAUACAAUUUAGAAAAUUGUGCCACGUCAACAGCCCGAUCAGCAGCCCCGGCCAACCAGGACACACCGCGUGGUAGAGACACUAAUGCGAGAGGUCAUGCGAAACGGAGUCACGUGGGCGAUCCGCGUGCGCGCGAUCGAACGGCUGAGGUCCGUUCCCGCACGCACAGACGGCCCAGAUAAAAAACGCGCACGGACAGCUCAGAUCGCUCACGCACGGAUGACCCAGAUUGAAUCACGUACAGAUGGCCCAGAUUGCAUCACGAUGAAUGGUCCAGAUUCAUUUUCUAUUUAAUCGCGAUUGGACGGUCCAGAUUAAAUCACGAUGGAUGGCUCAUAUUAAAAGUAGAAGGUUAUAAAUAAUCUCAUUCACACCCAAACCCUAACCCUAGCCGCCAGAGCCUUCGCCGGAGAAGACAGCCCAGCCACCAGGGAACCGACCGCCGCCACCCGCCGCCGCACCGGAGCACUUCUCGACCGCCAAUCGAGGUAAAAAUUCUCUCCUUGGCUCAAAUUUCGAUUCUUAACCCACCUGUGGCCAAAUAGGAGCCAAAACACCGGCUAAUCGGUCGGAAAACACCGCUGAAGCUUAGCUACCAUGGGUUUUCUCAGUUUUUGCCUCCGAUGAGGCCCUUCCCGAUUCCCGUUCAAUGUAAUUUUUCCACCAUUGUGACCAUCGUUCCUUCCUCUACAGAUUGAUUGAAGCAAAAUACCAAAUCGCGACUCGAUCCGGAGGAGCCGCCGCACCGGAGAGCCCCGCCGCCGGUAAGUCUCGAUUUUUUAUGUUUUUCGACCCACUGAGGGCCUUACGUGUGUUUUCUCG